GACAGAGGCCUCGAGCGUUAGGCGGAAUCACUGGGCUUAAAGCGUGUGUAGGCGGAAGAGUAAGUACCUUGUGAAAUCCCACGGCUCACCCGUGGAACCGCUGGGUAUACUGCUCUUCUUGGGCCACUCAGGGGCGACUGGAACAAGCGGUGGAGCGGUGAAAUGCGUAGAUAUCGUCAGGAACGCCGAUGGUGAAGACAGGUGACUGGGCUAGUUCUGACACUGAGGCACGAAAGCGUGGGGAGCGAACGGG
rnacentral:rRNA from 1 species